rnacentral:rRNA from 1 species
GACGAACGCUGGCGGCGUGCUUAACACAUGCAAGUCGAACGGUGAAGCGCCUUCCUUUUUGGUGGGCGUGGAUGAGUGGCGAACGGGUGAGUAACACGUGAGUAACCUGCUCCCUUCUUCUGGAUAACCGCAUGAAAGUGUCGCUAAUACGGGAUAUUCCGGGCCUGUCGCAUGAUGGGUUUGGGAAAGCUAUUGCUUCGGUGGGGGAUGGGCUCGCGGCCUAUCAGGUUGUUGGUGGGGUGCUGGCCUACCAAGGCGGUGAGGGGUAGCCGGCCUGAGAGGGUGAGCGGCAAUAGUAGGGCGACGACGCGCCCCAGCCUCCUACAGGAAGCAGCGGUGAAUAAUAGUGCACAGUCGGCAGAAGCAUGAUGCAACGCCGCGGCGUGAAGGAUGGAGGCCUUGUUGUUGUGAACCUCUUUCGCGAGAGAAACAGGCCUGCCUCGUUUGUGGGUGGGUUGACGGUAGCUGGAGAAGAAGCGCCGGCUAACUACGUG